UUGGAGGGCAAGUCUGGUGCCAGCAGCCGCAGUAAUUCCAGCUCCAAUAGCGUAUAUUAAAGUUGUUGCAGUUAAAAAGCUCGUAGCUGAAUUUCGAGAUCAAUUUGUUGGUCGUGCCUCGGUACGUACUGGCAAUUUUGAUUUCUUCCUUCUGAAGAACCAUGAUGUCAUUAAUUUGGUGUCAUGGGGAAUCAGGACUGUUAUUUUGAAAAAAUUAGAGUGUUUAAAGCAGGCUCGCACUUGAAUGCAUUAGCAUGGAAUAAUGAAAUAGGACGUUUGAUUCUAUUUUGUUGGUUUCUAGAAUCGAUAUAAUGAUUAAUAGGGAUAGUUGGG
rnacentral:rRNA from 1 species